UACGUAGGCAGCAAGCGUUGUUCGGAGUUACUGGGCGUAAAGGGUGCGUAGGUGGCUCUAUAAGUAUGGUGUGAAAUCUCCCGGCUUAACUGGGAGGGUGCGCCGUAGACUGUGGGGCUAGAGUGUGGGAGAGGAAAGUGGAAUUCCUGGUGUAGCGGUAGAAAAUGCGUAGAUAUCAGGAGGAACACCGGUGGUGUAAACGCUUUCUGGACCAUAACUGACACUGAGGCACGAAAGCGUGGGUAGCAAACAGG
rnacentral:rRNA from 1 species